GCCGUUCAGCCCCAGGAGAAGCAGGCCGCUGGGCAGGCAGCAGCAGCUGUGGCUGCGUGAGGGGAUCGUGUGCGCGCGCGUCGGUGCUGUGGCGGUGGCAGCAGCGGCGGCAGCAGCGCGCGGGCAAGUUGAGGGCGGCGCGGUGCCCUCGUCCGACGGCUCCCGCCGCAGGUAGGAGCGGCCGCAUCGAUAGAAGACGCUGCCACCUCCGUCGACUCUUGUUUCGUCUGUGUGCUUCCUGUGGCGGCGGCGGCGGCGGCUGCUGCGCGGUGAGGCGAGGGCCGCCCUCCCCCGUCAGCCGCGGCGGGCGGAGCGGCGGCAGCAGCAGUAUGAGCGGCGGCGGUGCCGUCCGGGGAACAGCGGCGACCGCACGGUUGGCAGUGCGGCUGCUGGCAGUCCUUAGCUGCGUCCUGACAGCAGAGGCCCAGCUCACAGGAGUCCUAGAUGAUUGUUUAUGUGACAUAGAAAGCAUCGAUGACUUCAAUACUUUCAAGAUCUUCCCCAAAAUACAGAAACUACAAGAACGGGAUUACUUCAGGUAUUACAAGGUCAACCUGAAGAGACCAUGCCCAUUUUGGGCUGAUGAUGGCCAUUGUUCUAUCAAAGAUUGUCAUGUAGAGCCUUGUCCUGAGAGCAAAAUACCUGUUGGAAUUAAAGCUGGGAGCUCUAAUAAAUAUUCAAAAGCAGCUAAUAAUUCCAAAGAAUUGGAAGACUGUGAGCAAGCUAACAAACUGGGAGCAGUUAACAGUACCUUAAGUAACCAAAGUAAGGAGGCUUUCAUUGACUGGGCAAGAUACGAUGAUUCACAGGAUCAUUUUUGUGAACUUGAUGAUGAGAGAUCUCCAGAUGCCCAAUAUGUGGAUUUGCUGCUGAAUCCAGAACGUUACACUGGAUACAAGGGGCCUUCUGCUUGGAGAGUGUGGAACAGCAUCUAUGAAGAAAACUGCUUCAAGCCUCGAUCUGUCUAUCGUCCUUUAAAUCCACUGGCACCUAGCAGAGGAGGAGAUGAUGGAGAAUCUUUCUACACAUGGCUAGAAGGUCUUUGCCUGGAGAAAAGAGUGUUUUAUAAACUCAUUUCUGGACUUCAUGCAAGCAUCAACUUGCAUUUGUGUGCAAAUUAUCUUCUUGAAGAAACCUGGGGAAAGCCUCGCUGGGGACCGAAUGUGAAGGAGUUCACUCGUCGCUUUGACCCUAUUGAAACAAAAGGAGAAGGACCAAGGAGACUCAAAAAUUUAUAUUUCUUGUAUUUGAUAGAGCUACGUGCUUUGUCAAAGGUUGCACCGUACUUUGAGCGUUCAGUUGUUGACCUUUACACUGGAAAUGGCCAUGAGGAUGCUGAAUCUAAAGCUCUUUUACUAGAUAUCUUCAGGGAUACAAAGUCCUUCCGUAUGCACUUUGAUGAAAAGUCCAUGUUUGCUGGAGAUAAAAAAGGAGCUAAGUCAUUAAAGGAAGAAUUCAGAUUGCAUUUCAAGAACAUAUCUCGCAUAAUGGAUUGUGUUGGAUGUGACAAAUGUAGACUGUGGGGCAAACUACAGACUCAAGGCUUAGGAACUGCUCUGAAGAUCCUGUUUUCUGAGAAAGAAAUACAGAGCCUUCCUGAGAACAGCCCAUCAAAAGGUUUUCAACUCACACGACAGGAAAUAGUUGCUCUUGUAAAUGCCUUUGGAAGGCUUUCUACAAGUAUAAGAGAGUUGCAGAAUUUUAAAGUUUUAUUACAACAAACCAGGUAAUGAAGGCCUUUGCACAACCUGUUAGUGAAGACCAUUUACAUGACUGCAUUGAGCAGCAGGAACUGAUCCUUACAGGACUCACAUGAACUGAUAAAAAACUAGCCUCAAAUUUCUGCCUGACUGGAAAAGAGCCUGUCCUGCUGACGCCCGCUAUAAUAAAAAGUGCUGUCUCUCAAGAAAGUAAACCCUCUUGAGUCAACUGGGAUCAGAUAAAUAAAAGGGGGGAAAAAAAACCCCAAAAACCUGAAACCAUCACUCCCACAAAGUUUUGGUGAUAGUCUCACAAAUUGUCAAUGAACUGGUCUUCAGUCAUCAGUUCCUGUUUAAGCCAGCAGAUAACUUAACCUGGUGUUGCAGAAAGCCAAUACCAGCCUGGGAAUGUUGUGUUCUUACCUAGCAGCCUCCCUUUCCUGUGGGCACCUGUGUCUGAGCAAGCCACUGCAGGCUUCGUUCUUCCACUUAAUGGAGAAGAGCAGUUGGAUUCUAGGUAGAUUUGUCUGGCCUAGUCUGAGCUCUGUGUGUGCACCCUUGAGUAGUUUUUUUCUCCAUGGAAUUGAAGUGGGAAUCUAGGUAACUAGCUCAGGUGCGAACCAACCAUGUUUAGUAAAGGAGUUACACCCCAAGUAUCUUAACUCUUCUGAGUAAUUGCAUAUAUUGAAAGAGUGUUAUGCUGUAUAGCUGGGAUUUAUCUGUGUUGUUACAUACUACAGUGCCUAAAGCUUCAGGCAGAAUUUUCUGGUUGACAAUAAAUUGUGUCUUCUGUGCUACCCCAGGAAGGACCUGGACCUUAGAAUUGUUUUUUCCCUUUUUCCUCUCACUUUGUGGGGAAGGUGAAUUGCUUCCAACCUUCUGGGGAUGCAAUAUGCUAUUUUUCUUUUUUUUUCUACCUGUGCCUGACUAAAACCUAUAGACACAGAAGCAGCGUUACAUCCUAUUGACAUCAUGUGCUUGCUCAUGGGACAGCUUCAGGCACACACAUCCUGGACACCUACUCCCUGCAGCCCUCACUGGCACAGUGCAUGCAAGGCUACUACCAUUGGGUAAGGAUGUAGAGGGACGAUAGGAAGCUUUUCUUCUUUUCGUUUCUGUCAUGAAAACAAACACAGGAAUGCAACUGAACAGCAUAUUCUAUGUAUGGGGAAGUUCUGUUGUGUUUGAAGGUACAUCUCACUUGGCUGUCAAAUACAGAAAGUGUUUGACUUCAUUAUCAUUGUGCAAAUAGGACAUAGGAUUUUUCCUGCUGCAAACCUAGUUGAAACAAUUCUCCUGCCACCAUCUUUUUUACUGUAUUUGAUGUAUGUUCUGUGACUACCCUGCCUAUGAAGUUUUGCCAUGUGAGUUCUUUAUAUGUUAAAUUAAAUUUUAGAAAUUUACAGAUCUGUUUUUAUACUAAAGAAUAAGGUUAGUUACACUAUCCAUGACCUGUAAACUAUUUUAAAUUCCAGAUUCCUGCUGAAGAUCAGCUUCUCAACAUUGUCUGUCAUUCAUUUCAGAGUAAAAGUACACUUUCUUGUACAAGUGACACAAUGAUUGUAAUCCCAGAGGUAGUGAGAAGGCAAAGAAUGAAGACUUGUGUGAGAUGGUAAUAAAGGCUUUGUGCAAAGCACAUAGGUGAAAUGUAUGGUGCUGUAGCUGAACAACUGUCUCUUCAGUGCCUGAGGAGGAAGGUGAGAGUAUAGUUUUGAACAGAAGAAUACAGAGACUUAGGUGAGCUGAAAUCACAAAAGUGUUUUCCUGCUCCAGCUGAUGAUAUAUACUCUGUGUUCCUGUAUGUGCAUGAAACACACAGUGCCACGCUUCCUGGAGUCAUGUUUCGAUGUCUGGGUUGCCUUUACCUGGCCUUGCGGUGUACUGAUCUGGGAAAUGACCUAUCAUAUGUUGUAAAUAAUCUAGAUGCUUAUGUUUAUAAAGCAGCAAUCAGCCACUCAUCACUUUACAAUUCCUCCAUAUAGCUAGCCUAUUAAAUGGAGUAUUUAUUAAAAUCAAAGCCAUUGUUGGAACUGCUUACUGAGAUCUAAAGACUUCUGAAUCUUUGCUAUGUUUGAAUCUAUAAAAUGCAAAUUAAAGUAUUUUCAUUUUCU